GGCCUAUGAUGAUUAAAUUUGUCCGUACCAUCUGAGAUAGUCUCCACAAAAGAUUAUCGUUGAUGUAUCUAUAUUUGCCAUUUCUGAGGCCU